AGAUAGGCCCAGCCCAGUGCGAAACCAUACAAAUUUUUUUGUUUUCCUUUUGUAUCUCCUCUACAUAAUUUUUUUUUUCAAAUUGAUGUGUUUGGAAUUAUUGGGCCACAAAAUAAAUGUCUUUAGUUUUUUGAAAAAUUAUUAACUAUUAUUCGUUUAUUUUUUUGACAUCAUUAUUAUUCGUUUGGUAUAGCCCUGUGCCUAUUGGA